rnacentral:rRNA from 1 species
AGAGCGAACGCUGGCGGCAGGCUUAACACAUGCAAGUCGAGCGGGCGUAGCAAUACGUCAGCGGCAGACGGGUGAGUAACGCGUGGGAACGUACCUUUUGGUUCGGAACAACCCAGGGAAACUUGGACUAAUACCGGAUAAGCCCUUACGGGGAAAGAUUUAUCGCCGAAAGAUCGGCCCGCGUCUGAUUAGCUAGUUGGUGAGGUAAUGGCUCACCAAGGCGACGAUCAGUAGCUGGUCUGAGAGGAUGAUCAGCCACAUUGGGACUGAGACACGGCCCAAACUCCUACGGGAGGCAGCAGUGGGGAAUAUUGGACAAUGGGCGCAAGCCUGAUCCAGCCAUGCCGCGUGAGUGAUGAAGGCCCUAGGGUUGUAAAGCUCUUUUGUGCGGGAAGAUAAUGACGGUACCGCAAGAAUAACGCCCCGGCUAACUUCGUGCCAGCAGCCGC